UACGUAGGGGGCAAGCGUUGUCCGGAUUCAUUGGGCGUAAAGAGCGUGUAGGCGGCCAGGCAGGUCCGCUGUGAAAACUCGAGGCUCAACCUCGAGAUGUCGGUGGAAACCGUCUGGCUAGAGUCCGGGAAGAGGAGAGUGGAAUUCCCGGUGUAGCGGUGAAAUGCGCAGAUAUCGGGGAAGAACACCCGUGGCGAAGGCGGCUCUCUGGGACGGUACUGACGCUGAGACGCGAAAAGCGUGGGGGAGCGAACAGG
rnacentral:rRNA from 1 species